rnacentral:rRNA from 1 species
UACAGAGGUCCCAAGCGUUGUUCGGAUUCAUUGGGCGUAAAGGGUGCGUAGGUGGCGUGGUAAGUCGGGUGUGAAAUUUCGGAGCUUAACUCCGAAACUGCAUUCGAUACUGCCGUGCUUGAGGACUGGAGAGGAGACUGGAAUUUACGGUGUAGCAGUGAAAUGCGUAGAGAUCGCAAGGAAGACCAGUGGCGAAGGCGGGUCUCUGGACAGUUCCUGACACUGAGGCACGAAGGCCAGGGGAGCAAACGGG